UACGUAGGGGGCUAGCGUUGUCCGGAAUCAUUGGGCGUAAAGAGCGUGUAGGCGGUCCGGUAAGUCCGCUGUGAAAGUCGGGGGCUCAACCCUCGAAUGCCGGUGGAUACUGUCGGGCUAGAGUGCGGAAGAGGCGAGUGGAAUUCCUGGUGUAGCGGUGAAAUGCGCAGAUAUCAGGAGGAACACCUAUUGCGAAGGCAGCUCGCUGGGACGUAACUGACGCUGGAGACGCGAAAGCGUGGGGAGCAAACAGGAUUAGAUACCCCCGGU
rnacentral:rRNA from 1 species